rnacentral:tRNA from 1 species
GCCAGCUUGGGGCGGAUCAGGGUCUGGAGGCCCGAGAAGGCUCCGCAGGCGAUGUCGCCGCCGACGUAGUUGGCGUUGCGUGCGGCGAGCUGGGGC